ACCGUGGAGCAGGACGUCAUCGUCACGCUGGCAGGACAGAUCGGGCACUUUUUAAAUGGAUGAUAACUUUUAUUUGAAUGUUGUGUUUGUGUACACAAACAUAAUAGGAGGACAGCAGGAAAGGGUAGGACAGUAGUCCGAGCACCAGACCAUCUGCUCACCUGAGCGCCACAUCGCCCUUGUUCCAGUAGGUGAAGAGGUUGGAAACCGUUCCGCCCGGACAGCAGGUGCAAACAAGAGCGCCGACUGCCACCAUCGGGGAGUACUGCAUGAUGUGCGCCACGGCGAACCCGCACAGCGGCAUGGCCAGGAAUUGCGAGAAGAAUCCGAUCACAACGCCGACGAAAAACCGCGGGUCAAUCUGCAUGAAUGAAACGAGUCGGAGAGCUUCCAGUCGUACGAUUAAACACGGGCUCUGUACGUGCAGAAAUAUACUGUGAACUCGUGGAGCUGAGGACGAGUCUUCAACUGUGCUGUGUCGCAGCAACUUCCGGACCGCUUGUGUGUGGCAGCAGGAACCCUUCACAUCAGAUGCAGGAUGUUCAGAUCGUUCUGAAGAAGGUGUGAAGCAUUAUUGGACAUGUGUCCUGUCCUGAUCAAGGGCUCUUUGACAAUCCUUUAAUAUCCUCCAUCGAUCAGCUUCUUUUUCAAACGGCAGAUAUGUUUCAAGAC